rnacentral:rRNA from 1 species
UACGUAGGGACCAAGCGUUGUCCGGAAUCAUUGGGCGUAAAGAGCGUGUAGGCGGCUUGUUAAGUCUUGCGUGAAAUCUCGGGGCUCAACCCCGAGCGGUCGUGAGAAACUGGCAGGCUAGAGUGCGGGAGAGGAGAGUGGAAUUCCUGGUGUAGCGGUGAAAUGCGCAGAUAUCAGGAAGAACACCCGUGGCGAAGGCGGCUCUCUGGAACGCAACUGACGCUGAGACACGAAAGCGUGGGGAGCAAACAGG